rnacentral:lncRNA from 1 species
AGAUGAACAAGGGAGGUGAAAACGUGAUCUAGGGAGGCAUCCGAGUGAGCAAAGGCACGAGUGAGCCUGGUACACUUCUGGGCAGGCAGAAGGAAGGCAGUUAGGCUGUUAGGAAGGCAGUUAGGCUGCAGUGAAUUCUACAAAGAGGCUAUGGGAAAGAAACCUGGAAAGUACCCUUGGCUGUGUACAUUUGAGUAAAGAGAGCACUAUAAAAUCAAAAACCAAUGAAAUGGUUUCCAGAACACAGAACUAUUAAGCUUAAGAAAAGGACAGAAGGAACUGAAGAGAGAGGAACUGUUUUGGAGCAUCACACUUCCACCUCAGAAGAAAUAAGGAAGGAAGGAGGAGGGUGUUCCCACGGCUCUUCAACCAGGCCGGCUCUUCAGCCUACAUCCCCAUCUCAUCAAGUAAAAGGGAUUUUUCAACUGGACCAACCAGAUGGUUUAACAGUGCACUCCCACACCAUUCAACUACGCAAGGGAGAUACACUUAACAUAUGCAGUCGUAUAACACCUACUAACAUUUUCAAACAUUAAACCUUUAAAAAAGAGUUCUAAAGAAAUAGAAGCUUGAAGUAUCAUCUCUCAAGUAUAUAGACACUACUUCAUGGUGUGGUAAUAUAUGCAUAUAGAAGCUAGUAAACACCUCCAGGAGAUGCAAAAGGAAUUAGAACUGCCACAAGGUGCAAGCAAAACCUUGAGCUUCUUUAAAAUAUGAAGACUUCGAAGUUAUUUAUCCAAACCAACCUGAUCAUUUCUUAAGAGUGAAUAUACCUUGGAAGACGUGUCCUGCCUUUAGUAGCGUCACAAUGGAUUACAUCCUCUAUAAAGCAGUCUGGGAUAUUCUGCCCAAUCAGAGGCUAACAUCUGCCACAAGACAAAUAUGGUGCCUGCCCCCAUGGAGCUCAUAUUCGAAUGGAGAAAAUGUCAACAAGUAUCCCACGGAGUGAACACUUCAAAAGGAGAAGCACAGGUGAGAAAAUCGAAUUUGGACACCGUUGAGGAGACUAUUGCAGUCAUCCAAGCUCAAGAUGGUGGAGCUUCAUCCUUGAGAAUAACCAAUGGGGAUAGAUUUAAGAGACACUUAGAGUCUGCAGCCAACAGGGCUGAAUGAGCAGAGAGUUAUGAUUCAGAAGAUCAUCUAAAAUUGAACAGCUGCCACUACUGGCAAUAAGUCUACUGCCAUUUGGUAGAUAACCUUCUUAUCACACAGAAAAAUAUCAGUACAGACAAAUAGACCGCAAAGAAAAUGAGACCAUCAGCAAAGAAGAUAAAGAAGUUUGUACAAAGCAACUUUUUAUAAAUGGAUGGCUGUCAGGCAAAAAUAAAUUUCCUGUGGACAAGACCAAGAGCAAGGCAAGAGGAAAAUAAACAUGUUUAAACUAUUGGAGAGUCCAUAAUUUAAAUAUAAACUCUUCUGUUGA